AGUCUUUUAAAACGGAGUAGAAAGGGACGUUGGAUUGAUCAUUACGGUUUGUUUGGAGAAUAGAAUUUCGUGUCACCAACUUGGAAGGGUAAAUGAAUUGCAGAGUCGGAUACAGCUAAUUUGGGGGAAUGUAAGCUGGAUGUCUUUUCCUAAUUUAUGAAACGUGAACGGGGGUAAGGUAUUUAUUUGUACGCUAGUUGAAGUGGGGCAGGAGCACUGAUUCCUGGACAGUCACUCAAAAGCUGCGCCCAAAGUUUUAAAAAGCGCGGGGACGGUGGAGAGGGAGGCGAAGAGCCCGCGCUGCUGGGCUGGGCUCGGGUGCCGCGCUGGGGACGCCGCAUCUACUGAGCGGUCGCCGAAGACGCCGGGAGGCGAGGGGCGAGGUAAGACGCCGCCUAAAGAGGCCCGGGCUCUCCCCCGGGGUCGUUGUUGGAAAAGCAAAUUCCACGGUGAACUCUACCAAGCUCAGCGCGUACACAGCUAGCGGCUCUGGAUUGGACUGCAUUCGCCUAAAUUGCGUAAUUAAAAAAAAAAAAUACACCACUGCCACCCUACAGCGACGCUUCCGCUGGAAGACGAGCGGGGACGCGUGACAGCGCGGGGAUAGCUUUUCUAUUACGUUUCUUGUUCUCCGAGCUCGAGCCCCCUUUUAAAAAGUCGCUCACCAAAAACGGGGUGGGGGAUGGAGGUGGGGACGAGAAGUUUCCGAAUGCUGAGUUCAUUUGGACGAGGUGAGGAGAACUAGGGUCCUAACAGCAGGUCCAGAGGACUCUCGAGAUAGGUUUAGAGCCCGUCCUUUUGUCUGGAGUGUCGCGGGACUCCAGAAGUGGGUUGUGCAAGACAAACUUCCAGAUAAAUCUUUGCCCGGAUCCUCCUGCGGUCAAAGCAUCAGUCCUGCCCGUAACUUCCUAACGACAUCUUCUUGGAGCAGAUUCCGCGGCGGGGAUGGCUGGGUGUGCAAACCGAAAACAGUUUGUCAGCCCUCCAGUCCCGCCGCGUCGGGAAUGCGAGCCCGGCCACGCGGUCCGACCGGGUCCGGGGACGGCGCGCUUGUCGCGGGAGCCUCCCGGCUUGCGGAGGGCUUGAGUUUUUUGGCGGAGACAGAGGAAAGCCUCUGGUCGAGAGGAUUAGAGCGCGCGUUUUCUCCGCCGAGCACGCUGCCCGACGCCGUCGCAGCCGCGCACUUCCCGGUUUUGAAAGCCAGAGAGAUGAGUCAAGCGCAAAAGCUCCGGAGUGACAAUGCGAGCUUUUGGCCAGCCUCAUCCUCCUCCCCAUUCCCUUGCCUUCUUUUAGGUCUUCGGUUCGUGACAAGUGCAUAGGUUAGGCUUGCACGGAAGAGGGUCGGGGCAGGUGCCAGCUCAGGGCACCUACCCGGCGUUGUCACGUUCCCUUUGGGAUCAAUGAUCUUUCAUAACUAGGCUGGGCAUGUUCGUGCAGCCCUCUGGGCACUCUGGGGGACGUUCUCAUAAGGCUUUUUUUCUUUUCUUUUCUACCUUUUAACAGAACCUUCUAGGAAAAGUGUUUUUUAAAGUUUUAAAUAUACUGAUGUCUACAGAAACGGAUAACAAAAUUUCAAAGCGGAAGGGAGGAAACAAAAGGAAAAGGUGUUUUACUUGGCAGUCAUUGCUGAAGCUACCAUAGUGUAGGAUAGAGGAAGAGCGUUUCAGAAGAGAAUUGGUUAAGUAAAACCUUCAGCUGUAACGUAAUAGAAAAGACACAGUAAAUGGGAAAAAUAAUAAAAUGUACACUAGAUACAUUACACAGACGAUUGAGAACUUAUGCUCCCACUGAAAGCCUCUUUCUCCCAGGGAGAAUAUUUAUGGAGGAAAAUUAUUUAGUUAUUUUCACAGUAUUACAUUGUCCUUUGAAUGAAAGUUUUUUUUUUUUAAUCAGUCAGCUAGACUUGGUUCUUUAAUUAGGAGGCACAAUGAAGUUUCUAACAGAUGUUGUCAGCCACAAACUCUGAUCCAAAAUAAUAAGUGUAACUAAUUUUCGGGGACAAUCUUUAGUUUGUAAGGCCUGAAAUUAAAAUACGAUGCUUUUAAACACUGUGGUUCAAAAAUGUAGGAAAACAUUUGUUCCAGAUCUUAUAGUGGCACCAUUUCCUUGCUCUGUGUUGGAAAAGCCUUAAGUAGGAUAUGACCCUUCUCUCUCACUCCAAAACCUCUUUUUUCAAACUUGAUUUCUUUCUGAUCUUAGAAAUUCUACUUUAAAAAUAUUUCCUGAUUUUUAAAAGUCAGCCAGAUGAGGUGAAAUCCUUAAAAUAUAACAUAUUCCUGAUCAGAUCACAUAACUUUUCUCAUAAACUAAGUCUUAUAAAGAAUAUGCUUAAGCAACUCUUCAUCUAAAUAUAGCUUUCAAAUAUGUAUAAUUUAAUCUGAAUCGGUGUUGUCAAACUUCCAGUACCCUGAAAUAUAAGCACAAAGAUCAAAUUAUCUAUAAUUGUCAGAUAAAUGUGGUAGCCACUGGUUCUGCUUGGUGUAGUAAAAAUUAAUUAACAAUUAAUCAUUUUUAAAUUGAAUAUACAAUGUUAAGACAAAAUAUUGAGUGGGAUGCUCUAAUAUAUCCAGUUCUUAAUUCUUGGCAUGGCAUCAUGACUUCUAAACUCUAUAUGGUGUGUUGAAGAUUUGAAGAUUUGUCAUUGUAAGUUACCUGUUUCCUACACAUUGGAAAGAGGGGGAAGUUAAUACGUUUUCUAUAGCAUUCAACUCCUCUGCUGCCAAAACAUCUUAUAGUUUGGACUGCAUUUUAAUAUAUGCCAUAUUUUGAAAUCUAUUUGGUUUUGAACAAGCUGCAGCCUCUGUGCAAAUAACCUGUCAUCCUUUAGUGGAUCUUUAUGGCUAUUUUAAAUAAAAGUUUUUUUAAAGUGCCAAGAGAGAACAUUACAAAGUGAGGUCUGUCUUCUUGGGAUUCUAUAUCUAUUUGAGGGUGAAGGGUAGAUAGGGCUGAUGUUACAUCUUUUGACAGAGGGCUAGUAGAAUCCUAUGUUUCUGACACAAAUUAAAUGUGAUUUCCGCCAAAUUGACUGUCUCCUGGCGUGGAGGCACAUCACCACGAUUUUGGUUUGCCACAUUGAAAUAAAUAAGAAAACAAAGGCUGGACUUGCAAAAGCUACUACUUAUUUUUCAGCUUCUUUAAUGACUAGGAUUCUUUCACUUAUCUGCCCUGGACUACACACUGACAGGCUGCUGGAAUUCUGAGCAGUAAAAAAAUUCUAGAUGGCCAAUAUAAUUUAAAUGACAAAUGUGUAUUGAGCACAUACUGUAAGGACAGGGGUAAAAAGUGGAAGACCAGUAACUCAGCCGUCCAAAUGAAUGGGCCUUACCAAUAAGCCUAAGACACUGGGAUGGGGCUGCAACUUCUUUUCAUAGCAGUUUCAUAAGGCUUUCUUUUCUUUUCUACCUUUUAAUAGAAUCUCUGUUGAAUGAUUUUUUUUUAUAUUGUGCUAAGUAGUUUUUCCUAGCUGUCUCAAUUGUUCUAGAGCUUCUUCGUGUGUCAUGGAAGGCCUGAAAGUCUGGGCCAGGAUUAUAAUUGUUAAAAAAAUCAUUUUUCUCAGUUCGUUCUCUCUUUUUAAAUACUAGGAUAUUUGCUUCGUUAAUAGUAGAAUUUUAGUCCUUUCUUUAAAAAAAUUGUUUGUUUGUUCUUCAUUAACAUUAAUGACAUUUCUCAACUGCAUUUGCUUCAGUCUCAUUUGGGAAUCUGCCUAGUCUUGUCUCCUUAACGGGUUAGCGGUGAUGACACCUUAGUACCAGAGGUUCCCUGAGUUUUGCUGUCAACUCACUUAUAUGCCUUUUUUAAGGGAAGUAGGUUGGAGGGGUUACCCUCAUAAAGCUCGUAUUCUCCAUAUUUGUAAAAGGGAUUUUGAAACAUUUCUUUACCCAUUGGAAAUUAUAAAAUCAUCGGAGGCAUUACAAAGUAGCAGAAAAUGCUGGAAAACAAAAGAAGAGAUCUAUGGACUUUGUAAUGGGCAUUUGGAUGAGAGCUUCUAGAUUAUGGUCUGAAAAAAGGAACUAUACUUUCUAUUUCAGUAGUAUUUUAUUGUUCAAUAGUGAAGUUUUAAAUAUGAUGGUUUCUUGCCCUUCAAAAAUGUACCUUAAUACUGUAUGCUCAAGCAGAAUUAAAAAGUAAACUGGUUGAGUUUAGAAAUAUUCUAUUAGAAAACUGUGUAUGUUUAGUUGGUUUCUAUUUUAUGUUAAACAAAGUGCAGGGAGUUUGAAUAAAUGAAUUUUAAGUAUUUUUAUUACAAAUUUAAUUUACUUCUGGUUGUGGUUUUUUUAAGUUUGCUCUUAUAGAUAAACAUUGCUGCCUUUCACAGCAUUUCACAUUUGAAAUAUCUGUAUAUUGUGUUCUGGGUCCAUCGAGCUGAAAGCUUGUGGCAAAAUAUUAACGUUUUUUCAAUUUCUUAAUUGAAAGGAUACUUUAAGCUGUGAGAAGUGGCACGUGUCUGUAGUCCCAGCUACUUGGGAGGCUGAAGCAGGAGGAUUGUUUGAGCCUAGGAGUUCAAAGCCAGCCUGGACAACAUAGCGAGACCCCAUCUCCUAAAAAAAAGGGAAUACUUUAAAUAUAAGACAUACUUGAAAAAACUUUUUAGAACAUUUUACAUUUGACAUUUCUGUCUCUAACAUAAAUUAAUAUAUAAGGUGCAACGUUUUGCUUGAUAGGAAGUUUAUACUGUAAAUAAACCCAUAAGUCAAAUGAAUAUACUUGGUUUCUUUCUAUACACAUGACAGUUAAUUUUACUUUAUUUAGAUUUUUGCUUCUCCUAGGAUUACCAGUUUCAAAAAGUUUUUUCUUCAGUCAGACUUCGGGAAGCUAGUCCACCUAAUUUAAAAUAAAAUGACAUGAAUUCCCAGUAUUUCAUUUGUUCAUUUCACAUCUUUUCUUUGUCUGCCCAAGGACUGUUAGUCAACUUUCAUCAAAAGAAAACUAUUUUUACCAUUUAUAGUUCUGCCUCUGCCAGGCUGGUAAUAUCCAUCUUCCCUUACUGGGUUACUAUAAUCAACCUGGCUAUUGUUUUGCAUUGGGAUUUUUAAAAGUUAAUACAUAUAUAUAUAUAUAUAUAUAUAUAUAUAUAUAUAUAUAUAUAUUUUUUUUUUUUUUUUUCUUUUGAGACAAGAUCUCACUCUGUCACUCAGGUUGGAGUUCAAUGGCAUAAUCUCGGUUUAUUGCAGCCUCAACCUCCUAGGCUCAAGCAAUCCUCCCACCUCAGCCUCCCAAGUAGCUGGGACCACAGGCAUGUGCCACCAUACCCAGCUAAUUUUGUUUAAUUUUUAUAGAGAUGGGAGCUCACUAUGUUGCCCAGGUUGGUCUCAAACUCCUGGGCUCAAGUGAUCCUUUUGUCUUGGCUUCCCAAAGUGCUGGUAAUACAGGCAUGAGCCACCACGCCCAGCCCAAAUAUGUUUUUUCAUAAAAUUUAGAAAACAGGGGGUUGGGCAGCAGUGGCUCACACUUGUAAUUCCAGCACUUUGGGAGGCAAGGUGGGAGGAUCACUUGAGGCCAGGAGUUUGAGACCAGCCUGGGCAAUAUAGCAAGACCCCCAUGUCUACAAAAAAAAAAAAUUAGAAAACACAUUGUGACCAAUUAGAACAAAAUUUGUAUACAAAAGUGACAUGUUUUUUGCUUUUUUUGUUGUUGUUGUUCAGCCAGGGGCACUCCUCCUGUGGACUUUGAUUAUGUGUGUUGCCACUGCUGUGUUACUUGCCUUACACUAAGUCCUCUCAGACUCAAGUGUCAUCGUGAUGGGCUCAGGUGUACCUAAGCUACCUUCCAAUUCCAUGCCCUCCUUGCACUGGCUCAGGACCAUGACUGCAGUAGAAAUAAACUUAGACCUAGUGUUUACCAACAAGCUCAUGUAACCUUUGGCGUGCAGGGCCUCAAUUUCUUUAUGGGUUAAAUAUAAGUUAUUGAGAUUAAAUGAUAUUUGCAAAAAUAUCCAACUUAAAUCCAAGAAUUUCAGAGUAUUUUAAGUUAUUUUUAAAGGGCAAAGUAUGUGACCUUCCUUUAUCUAUGUGUUUCUUUUUUUUUGAGACGGAGUCUUGCUCUGUCGCCCAGGCUGGAGUGCAGUGGCGCCAUCUCGGCUCACUGCAAGCUCCGCCUCCUGGGUUCACGCCAUUCUCCUCAGCCUCCCAAGUAGCUGGGACUACAGGCGCCUGCCACCACGCCUGGCUAAUUUUUUAUAUUUUUAAUAGAGAUGAGGUUUCACCGUGUUAGCCAGGAUGGUCUCGAUCUCCUGAGCUCGUGAUCUGCCCGCCUUGGCCUCCCAAAGUGCUGGGAUUACAGGCGUGAGCCACCGCGCCUGGCAUUAUCUAUGUAUUUCAACUAUACCAAAAAACUAUAGAGAAUAUUAUAAACCAACACCUAUCUCCAAUAUACUUAUUUCUGUGUACCUAUCUCCAAGACAUUUCAAAGCUAUCUUUAACUCAUCUUUAAAAAAUAUAUACAAGCCAGGGGCAGUGGUGCACACCUGUAGUCCCAGCUACUCUCAAGGCUGAGGCAGAGGCUGAGGUAGGAGGAUCGCUUGAAGCCAGAGGUUCAAGGCUGCUGUGAGCUAUGAUAGUGCCUUUGGAUAGCCACUUCACUCCAGCCUGGGCAACACAGUGAGACUCCAUCUUUAAAAAAUAAAAUAAAAAAUUAAAAUACGUACAUUUUUAAAUGUUAAAGCCUCCUAUAUACUCUUUCCAUCUCUUUUCCCUCCCUCCCUCCCUCACCAAGGUUAUUUCCAUGUAUGUUUUCCAUGUAUGUAAUUUCCAUGUAUGUACAGACUUUUAUAUUUGUAUGUAUAGUAAUGUUUGUCUUAUUAAAGAAAGCUGACAUAAAUAG
rnacentral:lncRNA from 1 species